UGGAGCCCGUCCGAAAAUUUUGGGUCUGAAAAAAAAAAUAGAUAUAUACUUAGUUUUUUUUUUUUUAUUAGGUAUGGUCCCGUCCUAAACCCACUCCAAACUCCACUACUCCAGUCGACCUCUCCACUUCGUGUCUUCGUAUUCGAUUCCUUCUCCAAUCUCCAGUUCGUCGCCUCCAGUCCUCCUCCUCUAAACUCUAGCAGAGCUCGGCUAGUCGGCUUCUCCACUUCAAGUCUCAGAGAUCAAGAGUUCAAGACAUCAAUAGUUCAGUCUUCCUCCCCAAAGUGCUUCGAUUCCUUCUCCAGUUCGUCGCCUGACUCGCCUCCAGUCCUCCUCCUCCAGUUCGUCGCCUGACUCGCCUCCAGUCCUCCUCCUUUAAUUGAAUGUUGUAUUGGAUUGAUGAUUUCAUGGAUUGAAGAAUGAAGGUUGUCUCUUGGUCUGGAAUUCUGGAAAUCUGGUAUGCAGCUCUGAUUUCUCUCCGACUUCUUGGUUCUGCAGUUCUGGGUUCUGCAGUUCUGCAAUUUCUUAGGUGUUAGAGUAAAAUGUCUAGUUUUGACUAUUCCUGUUUCUACGGCGACCACUGAAAGGGCAUUUUCAGCUAUGAACAUCAUUAAGAAUAAACUUAGAAACAAAAUGGAGGAUGAGUUUCUUGGUGAUUGUAUGGUCCUUCACAUUGAGAAAGAAUAUGCUGAAUCUAUUGACAAUGAAUCGGUGAUCAAAGAGUUUGAAGCUUGUGGAACUCGUAGAGUUAGAUUUAGUUAGUUUAGGUUCUUGUAUUGCAUUGCACGUUUAUUUUGUUGUUGAUUUUGUUUUUUAUUUUUGUAUAGAUAUGCAUUUGAGGGGUAAGGCUCACUACGUCCCCCCCUGACUAGAUGUACUUUUUUUUUUAAUUUAUAAAAUUCUCUCGCACCGUCGAGAUUCUCCA